GACGAACGCUGGCGGCGUGCUUAACACAUGCAAGUCGAACGGAAAGGCCCUGCUUUUGUGGGGUGCUCGAGGGGCGAACGGGUGAGUAACACGUGAGUAACCUGCCCUUGACUUUGGGAUAACUUCAGGAAACUGGGGCUAAUACCGGAUAGGAGCUCCUGCUGCAUGGUGGGGGUUGGAAAGUUUCGGCGGUUGGGGAUGGACUCGCGGCUUAUCAGCUUGUUGGGGGGGUAGUGGCUUACCAAGGCUUUGACGGGUAGCCGGCCUGAGAGGGUGAGCGGCCACGUUACGCCUGCGAUACGGCCCAGACUCCUAUGGUAGGCAGCAGUGGGGAGUAUUGCACAAUGGGCGGAAGCCUGUUGCAGCAACGCCGCGUGCGGGAUGACGGCCUUCGGGUUGGAAAGCGCUGUCGCCUGAGACGAAGCGUUAGUGACGGUACUGGGUGAAGAAGCACCGGCUAACUACGUG
rnacentral:rRNA from 1 species